CCUACGGGAGGCUGCAGUGGGGAAUAUUGCGCAAUGGGCGAAAGCCUGACGCAGCGACGCCGCGUGGGGGAUGAAGGUCUUCGGAUCGUAAACCUCUGUCAGCAGGGAAGAACGGUCACUGUGCUAAUCAGCAGUGACUUGACGGUACCUGCAAAGGAAGCACCGGCGAACUCAGUGCCAGCAGCCGCGGUAAUACGGAGGGUGCGAGCGUUAAUCGGAAUUACUGGGCGUAAAGCGCUCGUAGGCGGUAUGUCAAGUCAAGGGUGAAAUCCCCGGGCUCAACGUGGGAACUGCCUUUGAAACUGGUAAACUGGAGUGUGUGAGAGGAUAGUGGAAUUCCAGGUGUAGGAGUGAAAUCCGUAGAGAUCUGGAGGAACAUCAGUGGCGAAGGCGACUAUCUGGCACAUAACUGACGCUGAGGAGCGAAAGCGUGGGUAGCAAACAGGAUUAGAUACCCUGGUAGUC
rnacentral:rRNA from 1 species